GACGAACGCUGGCGGCGUGCUUAACACAUGCAAGUCGAACGAAGUGGCGAACGGGUGAGUAACGCGUAAUCAACCUGCCCUUCAGUGGGGUACAACAGUUGGAAACGACUGCUAAUACCGCAUACUGAAGUAGGGGAUUGCGUCUGAUUAGCUAGUUGGAGGGGUAACGGCCCACCAAGGCGGUGAUCAUGAGCAGGGCUGAGAGGGUGAACGGGCAAAUUGGGACGUGGAGAAGGCCCAGACUCCUACGGGAGGCAGCAGUGGGGAAUCUUCCGCAAUGGGGGAAAGUCUGACGGAGGAACGCCGCGUGAGUGAUGACGGCCUUCGGGUUGUAAAGCUCUGUUAAUCGGGACGCGGUACCGGAAUAGAAAGCCACGGCUAACUACGUGCCAGCCGCCGCGGUAAUAC
rnacentral:rRNA from 1 species